UGCAGCUCAAAAUGGGUGGUAAAUUUCAUCUAAAGCUAAAUAUUGGCCAGAGACCGAUAGCGCACAAGUAGAGUGAUCGAAAGAUGAAAAGCACUUUGGAAAGAGAGUUAAACAGUACGUGAAAUUGUUGAAAGGGAAGCGCUUGCAACUAGACUCGCAGGUCGUCGAUCAUCCGGGGUUCUCCCCAGUGCACUCGGCGGCCCUCGGGCCAGCAUCGGUUUAGGUGGUUAGAUAAAAGCCAUGGGAAUGUAGCUGUCUUCGGGCAGUGUUAUAGCCCUCGGUACAAUGUAGCCUACCUGGACUGAGGACCGCGCUUCGGCUAGGAUGCUGGCGUAAUGGUUGCAAGCGACCCGUCUUGAAACACGGACCAAGGAGUCUAACAUCUAUGCGAGUGUUUGGGUGCAAAACCCAUACGCGUAAUGAAAGUGAACGGAGGUGAGAACCCGUUAGGGUGCAUCAUCGACCGAUCCUGAUGUCUUCGGAUGGAUUUGAGUAAGAGCAUAGCUGUUGGGACCCGAAAGAUGGUGAACUAUGCCUAAAUAGGGUGAAGCCAGAGGAAACUCUGGUGGAGGCUCGCAGCGGUUCUGACGUGCAAAUCGAUCGUCAAAUU
rnacentral:rRNA from 1 species